rnacentral:snRNA from 1 species
UAAAUCACGAGAUCAUGACAC